rnacentral:lncRNA from 1 species
AGCACGGCCUGCCAGUGAGGUGGCUCUCUGCACUCCACACACUGUCACACUCCGCGCACUCACACACUUGGAAGCGCCUCCCCACGUCCCUCCCCUGCCCUCCUCUUGCUCUGCUCUUCUCUUCCUCACCACAAAUAGUCGCCGAUCGACUGCCAAUCCGCCUCUCUCAACAACAUGACUGACUGGGAAGAGGUGGCUCAGGCAGAGCAGCUCUGCUGGCGCAGGCAGGAGGAGCAGGAGGAUUAUUAAAUAACGCAGCUCGACUCUGUGCAACUGGGAGUGGAGAGAAGGAGCCCAACAGUCGAGAAGGGGAGGGAGGACAGAGGAGGGGGACCAGGAAGGACAGCCCGUGCCCCGAAGACAUAAAUCCCUGAGUGCCCAGGAGGAGCCUUAACAAGCGGCGCGGAGCCCUCAAGGUAGUAACGCCUCCGGUGCCCCCGCGCCCGGC